GACCUAGGGCGCGAGCGUUGUCCGGAUUUAUUGGGCGUAAAGAGCUCGUAGGCGGCUUGUCGCGUCGACCGUGAAAACUUGGGGCUCAACCCCAAGCCUGCGGUCGAUACGGGCAGGCUCGAGUUCGGUAGGGGAGACUGGAAUUCCUGGUGUAGCGGUGAAAUGCGCAGAUAUCAGGAGGAACACCGAUGGCGAAGGCAGGUCUCUGGGCCGAUACUGACGCUGAGGAGCGAAAGCCAGGGGAGCGAACGGG
rnacentral:rRNA from 1 species